UACGGAGGGGGCGAGCGUUAUUCGGAAUUAUUGGGCGUAAAGGGCGCGUAGGUGGCCCGGUAAGUCAAAGGUGAAAUCCCUCGGCUCAACUGAGGAACUGCCUUUGAAACUGUCGGGCUUGAGGCCGGGAGGGGGUAGCGGAAUUCCCAGUGUAGCGGUGAAAUGCGUAGAGAUCGGGAGGAACACCAAUGGCGAAGGCAGCUCGCUGGGACGUGACUGACGCUGAGACGCGAAAGCGUGGGGAGCAAACAGG
rnacentral:rRNA from 1 species